GAUGAACGCUGGCGGCGUGCCUAAUACAUGCAAGUCGAGCGAAUGGAUUAAGAGCUUGCUCUUAUGAAGUUAGCGGCGGACGGGUGAGUAACACGUGGGUAACCUGCCCAUAAGACUGGGAUAACUCCGGGAAACCGGGGCUAAUACCGGAUAACAUUUUGAACCGCAUGGUUCGAAAUUGAAAGGCGGCUUCGGCUGUCACUUAUGGAUGGACCCGCGUCGCAUUAGCUAGUUGGUGAGGUAACGGCUCACCAAGGCAACGAUGCGUAGCCGACCUGAGAGGGUGAUUGGCCACACUGGGACUGAGACACGGCCCAGACUCCUACGGGAGGCAGCAGUAGGGAAUCUUCCGCAAUGGACGAAAGUCUGACGGAGCAACGCCGCGUGAGUGAUGAAGGCUCUCGGGUCGUAAAACUCUGUUGUUAGGGAAGAACAAGUGCUAGUUGAAUAAGCUGGCACCUUGACGGUACCUAACCAGAAAGCCACGGCUAACUACGUGCCAGCCGCCGCGGUAA
rnacentral:rRNA from 1 species